AGCUGGUUUACAGUGUGGUAUUAAUAGCUUUUUCGGGCUCAUAACCCGAAGGUCACUGGUUCGAGUCCAGUUCCCGCUA
rnacentral:tRNA from 1 species